rnacentral:rRNA from 1 species
UACGUAGGGGGCAAGCGUUGUCCGGAAUUAUUGGGCGUAAAGCGCGCGCAGGCGGUUAUGUAAGUUUGAUGUUAAAGCCCGGGGCUCAACCUCGGUUCGCAUUGGAAAAUGUGUAACUUGAGUGCAGAAGAGGGAAGUGGUAUUCCAAGUGUAGCGGUGAAAUGCGUAGAUAUGUGGAGGAACACCAGUGGCGAAGGCGACUUUCUGGUCUGUAACUGACGCUGAGGCGCGAAAGCGUGGGGAGCAAACAGG